UACGUAGGCGGAAAAUUAAGUCAGUAGUGAAAUCCUGCAGCUUAACUGUAGAACUGUUAUUGAUACUGGUUUUCUUGAAUAUAGUUGAGGUAGGCGGAAUGUGUAAUGUAGCGGUGAAAUGCUUAGAUAUUACACAGAACACCGAGUGCGAAGGCAGCUUACUAAGCUAUGAUUGACGCUGAGGUACGAAAGCGUGGGGAGCGAACAGGAUUAGAUACCCUGGUAGUCC
rnacentral:rRNA from 1 species